AAGUCGUAACAAGGUUUCCGUAGGUGAACCUGCGGAAGGAUCAUUAUGGUGGCCGAGGCGAGAAAGCCGAGGCAUAGCACGAGCGUGUGGCCAGCAAUGGCACACACGUGAUGGCCAGUGUUGUACUGAUAUGUGGCAGUGUCAUGUGAUGCAGUCACAUGCCUGCCAGAGAAUACUAACCAUGUCACAAUACAUCACCGAGUCACUCCACAACACCACACAACUGUUGGCAACGGAUCACUCGGCUCUC
rnacentral:misc_RNA from 1 species